ensembl:Mt_tRNA
UAGAUUGAAGCCAGUUGUUUGGGGUUUUUAGCUGUUAACUAAAAUUUUGUGGGACAAAAGCCCACCGAUCUAG